rnacentral:rRNA from 1 species
AUUGAACGCUGGCGGCAGGCCUAACACAUGCAAGUCGAGCGAGCGGCGGACGGGUGAGUAAUGUAUGGGGACUGCACGAUAGAGGGGGAUGACGACUGGAAACGGUGGCUAAUACCGCAUACUAUCGGAUAACCCAUAUGGGAAGAGCUAGUAGGUGGGGUAAAGGCUCACCUAGGCGACGCUCUCUAGCUGAUCUGAGAGGAUGAUCACCAACCCUGGGAUGGAGACCCGGCCCAGACUCCUCCGGAGGCAGCAGUGGGGAAUAUUGCACAAUGGGCGCAAGCCUGAUGCAGACAGGCGGGGUGUAUGAGAAAGGCUUUAGGGUUUUAAACUACUUUCAGCAGGGAGGCGUUACCCGCAGAAGAAGCACCGGCUAACUACGUGCCAGCAGCCGCGGUAAUUC